GAUGAACGCUGGCGGCGUGCCUAAUACAUGCAAGUCGAGCGAACGGACGAGAAGCUUGCUUCUCUGAUGUUAGCGGCGGACGGGUGAGUAACACGUGGAUAACCUACCUAUAAGACUGGGAUAACUUCGGGAAACCGGAGCUAAUACCGGAUAAUAUUUUGAACCGCAUGGUUCAAAAGUGAAAGACGGUCUUGCUGUCACUUCUAGAUGGAUCCGCGCUGCAUUAGCUAGUUGGUAAGGUAACGGCUUACCAAGGCAACGAUGCAUAGCCGACCUGAGAGGGUGAUAGGCCACACUGGAACUGAGACACGGUCCAGACUCCUACGGGAGGCAGCAGUAGGGAAUCUUCCGCAAUGGGCGAAAGCCUGACGGAGCAACGCCGCGUGAGUGAUGAAGGUCUUCGGAUCGUAAAACUCUGUUAUUAGGGAAGAACAUAUGUGUAAGUAACUGUGCACAUCUUGACGGUACCUAAUCAGAAAGCCACGGCUAACUACGUG
rnacentral:rRNA from 1 species